rnacentral:lncRNA from 1 species
AAAAAAUCCAAAGUAUAUAACAAGGGGAGAACAGUUAGUGCUGAUUUUCAUUUGCAUACAUUUUCAUAUAUUUUGGUGAAAAUAAUAGACUAGUGGAGAGCUGGGCUUCGAGGCGUCAGUGUGAAGGGAAGGCUAAGGACGCAUCGGUGCUGGAGAGUUGAGAAUAUGCCUUCCCCUCCACCCCCAACCCAGUCACCUUAUUUGAAAAAAAAUUAAAAAACACCUUUUAUUUAAAAACCUAACCCUGGAAGUUUGCUCGCUGCCUGAAAAUCAUAUGCGUGGUUUUUCCUGUUUCCUGCUCUGUAGCUGACAUCAGGGGAGCAACGUGAACACAGGAAAAUGGAAAUCAACAUUUGAAACUUUUAAAUGGAAGCUUUAUUGGGGUUCCACAUAUGGAAAACUGCAAAUAGCAGAAGUAUGUGACUCAAUAAAUUAUUCUGGAGUGACCACAUCCUCUAACUGCCUCCCAGGACAAGACGGAGAAUGUGAACAAUGCUCCUGAAGGCCCCUUUCCCUCAAAGAAUCACUGCAAUUGAAGGAAAAAUGCUCCAUGUCCCCUCUGCCAGUUGGUGUUUAUCAAAGGACAACGGAGGAAGAGAGACAAAGUGCCUGGAUGUGUGUGUUAAUCAAGAGUUGUCAGGACCCUGCCUCUAAAAGAAAGCGCUAAAAUGAUGCUUUUGACAAGACUUUUCUCAAAGUGGAUGCAGUCUAAGGGUUGGAAAACAAGGCCCAAUCAGGCUAGGUCUGACUUGUCGCCUGCUUUUGUAAAUAAAGUUUUAUUGGCU